AUUGACAAAUUCACCUGUAACAACACCUUCAACGCCAUCAUGCAAAUUUUGUGAAAGCUCGCUCGCACACGAUCAAAACACUGAUACAAUCUCGACGUUAAUUAUAUUCUGUUCCGUUAAUCAGAUCUCAUCUCAUGAAUCAUCUCUUUCAUUCAAGAUCCAAUUCUGUUCCGUUUUCACAUUAUACGAUUUUAGCGUUUUUUCUCUUCUGUAGCGGUUAAAUGUCAGGUGAUUCAUCGGCGAGGACGGCCGUAUUCCGUCACCGGAAUACCGUCCGCGUAGUAGUCGUCGGUGAUUCCGCCACCGGUAAAUCAAGCCUCAUCGCCGCAGCUGCCACCGAUACUUUUCCGGAAACCGUUUCACCGGUUCUUCCUCCAACUGUUCUUCCGGCAGAAUAUUAUCCUGAUGGCAUUCCUGUCACAAUCAUUGAUACUCCGUCUAGCUUGGAUGGUAAAGCUAAGGUAGAGGAAGAAUUGCAGCUUGCAGAUGCAGUGGUUUUAACCUACGCCUGUGAUCAACCUGAAACACUUGUUAACCUUCAGAAUUAUUGGCUUCCUGAAAUUAGGCGCCUAAAGGUUAAUAUACCAGUGAUUGUGGUUGGAUGCAUGUUAGAUUUGCGUGAUGAGCACUUCCCCAUAAAUUUAGAACAGAUGAUGGGUCCAAUAAUGCAACAGUUUAAGGAGAUUGAGACGUGCAUAGAGUGUUCUGCAGCUAAUCUAGUCGAGGUAGCUGAGGUAUUUUAUUAUGCUCAAAAAGCCGUGCUUCAUCCAACAGCACCCUUGUUUGAUCAAGAGUCUCAAACUUUGAAGCCUCGCUGCAUAAGAGCAUUGAAAAGGAUAUUUAUUCUUUCUGAUCAUGAUAAGGAUUCUGCCCUUAAUGAUAACGAGUUGAAUCAGUUUCAGGUGAAGUGUUUCAGUGCUCCUCUUCAACCUAAUGAAACAGAGGAUGUUAAAAGAGUGGUGAAAGAUAAUUUACCUCAAGGGAUCAAUCAUCUUGGGCUUACUCUAGAUGGGUUUCUAUAUCUUCAUUCUUUAUUUAUUGCAAAAGGACGCCUUGAGACUACAUGGACCGUCUUACGUGAAUUUGGUUACAAUGAUGACCUGGAACUCCGGAAAGAGAAUCUACCCGUUCCAUCUGAAAAGGCUCCUGAUCAGAGUGUUGAAUUGACAAGUAUAGCUGUGGACUUCCUGAAAGGGGUUUUCAGUUUAAAUGAUUCUAACAAGGAUGGAGCUCUACAAGAUUUUGAGGUUGAUGAGCUGUUUUCAACUGCACCAGAAAGUCCUUGGGAUGAAGAUCCUUACAAGGAUUCCGUAGAGAGAACUGAACAGGGGGACGUAAACCUUUCUGGGUUUCUCUCUCAGUGGGCGCUAAUGACAUUACUUGACCCACCUCAAAGUUUGGCUUAUUUAAUAUACCUUGGAUAUACCGGUGAUCUUGCUAAAGCCAUUCGUGUUACGAGAAAAAGAUCCGUAGAUUUUAGAAAACAAUAUACGGACAGACAGGUUUUUCAAUGUUUUGUUUUUGGACCCAAACACGCAGGAAAAUCUGCACUUUUGACUUCAUUUGUUGAAAGGCCUUUCCAAGACAACUAUAGUUUGACAAGCGGUCAAAGUUAUACAGUCAAUACUGUUGACCAACCUCGGGGGAUUAAAAAGACUCUUAUAUUGCAUGAAGUUCAAGAAUGUGAUGUUAAGAUAUUACUAUCCAGUAAUGACUCAUUAGCUGCUUGUGAUGUAGCAGUUUUUGUUUAUGACAGUUCUGAUGAAUUUUCAUUAAAAAGAGCAUCAAAAUUGCUAAUGGAAGUAGCUCGGAAAGGAGAAGAUAGUGGUUACGGUGUGCCUUGUCUUCUCAUUGCUGCUAAGAAUGACUUGAACUUGUAUCCAAUGGCAAUCAAAGAUUCCGAGAUGAUUUGUCAGGCUGUGAAAAUAAACGCACCAAUACGUAUCAGUGUGAAAGACAAAUACAUGAAUAACGUCUUCCAGAAAAUUGUUACUACAGCUCAGCAGUGUCACUUAAGUGUUCCGGAAACUGAACAUGGGAGAAAUAAGAAGCGUUACAGACAGCUUGUGAACCGUUCUCUCAUUCUUGCUUCCGUAGGAGCUGCGAUUGCUAUAGUUGCAUUGGCGGCAUACCGAGCCUAUGCUUGUAGGAAGACUAAAUCCGCUCGUUAGGCACAAGGGCUAUGUACCCUGCUAGCUGCAGCAUUGUAUUCAAAAUAAGUGUGUUUUCCCUGUUGGUAAUUUGUAAAAAAGUCAUAAAGAAAACUAAAGGGACAAGACAACACAAUCUUCUUGAGAUUGGUUUCAGUUGAAAAUACCGCCUGAGGAUUGGUUGAAGUGUAAUCAUCUCAUUUAUAUCUUCAUAAAACAAGAUGUAUUGGGUUUGAUUUCAUUUGAUGGCAAUAUCAUUUUUUUGUUAUGGAUCAAGAAAGAGUUUUCUUCAAUUCAAAUAUAUAUGACAAUGAACUCAGAUUUGUGGUUC